GAUGAACGCUAGCUACAGGCUUAACACAUGCAAGUCGAGGGGAAACGACAUCGAAAGCUUGCUUUUGAUGGGCGUCGACCGGCGCACGGGUGAGUAACGCGUAUCCAACCUGCCCACCACUUGGGGAUAACCUUGCGAAAGUAAGACUAAUACCCAAUGAUAUCUCUAGAAGACAUCUGAAAGAGAUUAAAGAUUUAUCGGUGAUGGAUGGGGAUGCGUCUGAGUUAGCUUGUUGGCGGGGUAACGGCCCACCAAGGCGACGAUCAGUAGGGGUUCUGGGAGGAAAGUCCCCCACAUUGGAACUGAGACACGGUCCAAACUCCUACGGGAGGCAGCAGUGAGGAAUAUUGGUCAAUGGGCGAGAGCCUGAACCAGCCAAGUAGCGUGCAGGAUGACGGCCCUAUGGGUUGUAAACUGCUUUUAUAAGGGAAUAAAGUGAGUCUCGUGAGACUUUUUGCAUGUACCUUAUGAAUAAGGACCGGCUAAUUCCGUGCCAGCAGCCGCCGUAA
rnacentral:rRNA from 1 species